rnacentral:rRNA from 1 species
GUCUACGGCCAUGCCACCCUAAACACACUCAAUCUCAUCUGAUCUCGGAAACUAAGCAGGGUCAGGCCUGGUUAGUACUUGGAUGGGAGACCACCUAGGAAGACCUGGUGCUGUAGGCA